AACGCACAUUGCGCCCCCUGGUAUUCCGGGGGGCAUGCCUGUUCGAGCGUCAUUUCACCACUCAAGCCUCGCUUGGUAUUGGGCGUCGCGAGUCUCUCGCGCGCCUUAAAGUCUCCGGCUGUACGGUUCAUCUCCCAGCGUUGUGGCAACUAUUUCGCAGUGGAGUUUGAGGCGUCGCGGCCGUUAAAUCUUUCAAAGGUUGACCUCGGAUCAGGUAGGGAUACCCGCUGAACUUAA
rnacentral:misc_RNA from 2 species